rnacentral:tRNA from 1 species
GGAGAAGUCGCCUAGCCCGGUUUAUGGCGCACGACUGGAACUCGUGUAUGCGUUGAUAGCGCAUCGAGGGUUCGAAUCCCUCCUUCUCCGCCA